GACGAACCGAGCGAACGUUGUUCGGAAUCACUGGGCGUAAAGGGCGCGUAGGCGGGAUGGCAAGUCGGUCGUGAAAUCCCUGGGCUCAACUCAGGGGGGUCGGCCGAUACUGCCGUUCUUGAGGGAUGCAGAGGAGACUGGAAUUCCCGGUGUAGCGGUGAUAUGUGUAGAGAUCGGGAGGAACACCGGUGGCGAAGGCGGGUCUCUGGGCAUUCCCUGACGCUGAGGCGCGAAAGCGUGGGGAGCAAACGGG
rnacentral:rRNA from 1 species